UGAUGCAGUUUCCUCAUUGAAGUUGAGGAACUUGUUUGAUGGUAUCAACAUGAAAUAAGGAGAUCACUGGGAGAAAUUACAAAUCAGGAGUCCAGUGGGAGACUGCAGCCCUGAUCGGGAGUGUUGGCAGGUGGGCGCUCUGCAAUGGAUCAGUGUGAGGACAGAGAGGAGGGAGCUCCUCCCUCUAAAACCACUCUGUGUGGGGAACAUGAAGCUCAGAGCCCAGAGCAGCAGCAUGGACCAGACUCUGCUCGUCCUGGUCUUGAACCCAGCUGUGUGUCCUUUAAGAGUGACCGAUCUAAGGAUCUACCAAUUAAGUUCAAAGAUAGACGUCAGUCUGAUUAUCUAAGAGUCCAACGUCAGAGACCAGACUCUCCUGGACCUGGACCCAGCUGUGUGUCCUUAAAGAGUGACAACUCUAUGUACAGACUGAUUGAUUUCAAAGAUGGAGAGAUUUGUGAUGAUGAAAGGUAAGACUGUCCUGUGUUU